UAUUAUUAUUAUUAUUACAUUUUGAAAUUAGCCCCCCCCCCCCUCAUAAUAGUUCUCUUGAUUGUGUGUUCUGAAUUCCCACUACUCUGUGCUUGCUAACUCAUACCAUAUAACCAACCUACACCUUACCAAACCCACUACCCCGGACCACAGGUGACCCGGACCCCCAAAGGGUGAUGCAGUCAUAUAACUGUUCGAGGAGACACAGGAGUGAUUUGAGACUAGGAUGUAGGUGACCAGUCCUCAUGAUGCAUUUGAACAAGCCAUUGCCUUCUCUUCUCAGGAUUAGAUGGAAAUCUGUUGAUGAGAAAUUAUGCUUGUCAAAAAUUUAUUCAUUUAAUUGAUAAUACAAAGCAUUCCAUAAGCUUUGUUAGCUUGAAACGAAAUUUGCUGUUACCUGAUUAUAUCUAUGCAAAAGUAUGGAAGAAACGAAAGGCUAAAUAUCAACUUAGACUUAAUUAUGUUGAGAAAUAUUUUAUCCUCGUAUAAAUUCAUUAUCGGAGUUAAAGUGGCGUGAAGCUAACAUCGAAUGCUGCCUCUUCAUUAGGCAUCAAGGGAUCGGCCUAAGGCUAGUAGCAGCAAUAAAAAUAUAACUUACCCAUGAAAAGUUCUUGGAAAUUUAUGUUUCAUCUUCGUUUCUUCGUCUUCAGUCCCUUCACUAUCACUUCGAACGUUUUCUCUUUCAUUUCCUAAUUUUCUUCCCUUGCUGCACCCGAAAGCACAGCACUGAGUUCCCCACUUCGCCAUAUUUGUGUUACAUUCAGCGGUAAGCUUUGGGUCCAUCCAAUAUGGCGCUGCCCAAAUUUUGUUGGCUGCAAAUUUGCGCACUCGAGAACAAUGGCUUGCUUGAUCCAGUCUUUUUUCAAGAUCAGUGUGUGUGUCAUGGAAGCCCUGCCGGCUGUUGACACUCCCUCCCUCCGUUUUUCAUAUUUACGGUAAGUUUUAUUCCCCAUUUAUUCAAAUGGUUAAAUUUGUACUUAUGCAAAUGUAUUGAUACUCUUAAGGUUAUUUGUAGAGUGGGUCAUAUUAAUUUAAGAUUGCAUUGCCGGGAAUUAUUGUAGGAAUUUGUCAGUGGAACAAUGGCGAACCUGGCUGAGUAGCUUAAUUGGUUAUACCUUCAGUACUUUGAAGUUAAACCUGUAAUGGCUAUAUUUUAAAAGGAGAUAGUAAUACAAUUAAGAUAACAGAAGUAGGGAAGUUAAUUUACGUGUGUGUGAACAAGCAUGAGCGAAUAAGGAAAGUCAUAGGCGAGAAAGGGGGUGUAAUGGUCCCUACCAGUUCAAUUUUAACCAGCACAUCCUUCCAAAAUUUGCCAUCUCCUCAAUUUUCAUGGAUUUUUCUGUGGGAUUUUCAUUUUUGUAGUACAGUUUAUCCUGGAGUUUAAUAAAGCAACUAGAGGGGUAAUUGUCACUUCAGUGUUUGACAGCAUUGUUUACUUACAGUGUCGGCUGUAUCUUUACAGUACAGGCAUUUAUCUGUAUGCUGUCAUAUAUAUUUUUUUUUCAAUUGAUUACCUGUCUGAGGAACCUGAAGCAUCCCAUGUUGCCAGAAGAUUGACUUGAUGGGAUGUUCUCGUGAAAAUGGUUCUACCUCAGAUGAUGGUAAUGGCACAGGUCCGCUCAUGAGCCUUCAAAACAUUGUUCUUUCUCCAUCACUGCCUUAAGUGGACCUGAAUUGAGCUGGACCUGAUGUGAAUUAGACUAAAUUGAGCCAGACCUGAACUUACCUGGACCUGCAAUGAGCUGGACCUCAGGUGAACUGGAACUAAAGGUUAGGUUUUAUUUCAUCAGAGCCAACCAUAUAGAGAGUCAUCUAUUAACUGCAUCUGACACCACCAUAGUUUCAUCUAUCAACUGCAGCUGACCCCACCAUGAAGGGCAUUUCAUCUAUCAACUGGAAUCAACUGCAUCUGAACCCCUUUCCCCUACCCCUUUAGAGCGGGGGUCAGAAGUCUGUUCUGGGAAGUGCCUUACUCUUGGAGCAUUAUAACUCUGGGUUUAUGGCUCUGGCAUUUCUGUAUCUGGGAUAAGGAGCUUCCUGGAGGAGGCGACUGGCCCUAGGAGCAGCAAUUGCUGUAUCUAGGUGUCAGCGUUAGGCUGCUUAGGUUCCCUUUUUUUUUU